UUGUCAACAACCCUACGUGCAUUCCACCUCUAGAUAGUCCUAUUCAAAGUGCAUUUUUUCGUUUUAAAAUAGCGUCUCGAAAUAAAAACCAAUAAUAAAGCGUGCAUUUAAGCAAUUAAAAUCCGCAUUCAAUUGGCCGAAAUCGUGUAGAACCUCGUUCGGCAGGCACUUUCUUCGCCAAGAUGCGCGAGUGUGAGUGAAACGAAUUCCAACAAUGCGCAACCAAUACAUACAAGCGCCGCUUGAAUUUCUUUAUGCAAAGCGUACGCAACUAAAAGGGCAGCGGCGAAAGCAGUACCAGUAGCAAUAGCAGUAGGAGGAGGAACAAUGUAAAACCUGCGUUGCUCGGCUAUAAAAACUUCAAUUAAUAAUCUCAUUGCAUAUCACAUCUCGUGGAUGGCGGCUAGCGUGCCGUAGAAGACAGUAGAAUUAAUACCUCAUGGAUUCAUAUCACCAUAUCAGACAUUAUCCACCCUCAAGCACAAACAGCACAGGAGCGGUGGUGAGCAGCAGCAACACGUCAGCAAUAAACCGGCCGGAACUGCACCAAAAAUGCAACAGGGGCUCCCAUUCUAGUGACACCAGUUCGGCGUACAGUGGUAGCGAUACAAUGGCCUCAAACUACGCAUCGUCGCUGGAGGCGGAGGAGAUAGAUCUCUCCGGCCUGGUGGAAUCGGUGGUGGAUUCCGAUGAGGAGGAUCUGGCGGAGAGCAUGGAUAGCUUAACCGUGCGGGAUGCAGUACGCGACUGUCUGGAGAAGGACCCCGCAGAACGGAGUGAAGAGGAUGUCGAGGUGCUAUUGGAAUUCACGCAGGGCUUGAAGGCCUUCACCAACAUUACCCUGGCCGUGCGGAGGGCCCUCUGCUCGGUGAUGGUGUUCGCUGUGGUGGACAAGUCCGGAACGGUGGUGAUGUCGGACGGCGAGGAGUUGGAUUCCUGGUCGGUGCUGAUCAACGGAGCCGUGGAGAUCGAGCACGCCAAUGGCAGCCGCGAGGAGCUGCAGAUGGGCGAUUGCUUUGGGAUACUCCCCACCAUGGACAAGCUUUACCACAGGGGCGUCAUGCGAACCAAAUGCGACGACUGCCAGUUCGUGUGCAUCACCCAGACCGACUACUACCGCAUCCAGCACCAAGGCGAGGAGAACACGCGGCGGCACGAGGACGAGGAUGGUCGCGUGGUGAUGGUCACGGAGCUGCGAAGCUGUGGAGCCGACUCCGCUGGUGGUGCUGGAACAGCUACUGGAGCAUCUGCCAAUCUGAACACAAGGCGUGGGCACGUAGUCAUCAGGGGCACGCCGGAACGGCUGCUGCAGCAAUUGGUGGAGGAGAAUUCGAUGACAGAUCCCACCUACGUCGAGGACUUUCUACUGACGCAUCGCAUAUUCAUCCACAACCCGCAGGAGGUGAGCAGCAAGCUGCUGCACUGGUUCGACUUGGAGCAGGCGGAUGCGCACAAGACCCAGGAGCUGCGGGAUCGAGUCACUCGCGUCGUCCUGCUCUGGGUGAACAAUCACUUUACGGACUUUGAGGCGGAUCACGAGAUGAUGGAGUUCUUGGAGGUGUUCGAGACGCUGCUGGAGCGCAAGAAGCUACUGAGCCAACUGCGGCUCCUACACAUCGCCUGCGCGGCCAAGGCACGGAUGCGCAGCUGCACCCUGACCCGCUCUUCCCGGGACGAGCCCCUCAACUUCCAAAUAGUCGGCGGCUAUGAACUCCGCAGCGUGGCAGCAGCCACCGGAAACGCGUCUGUGGGCAUCUACAUCUCGCACGUGGAGGCGGGAUCCAAGGCCCAGGACGUGGGUCUCAAGCGCGGUGACCAGAUCCACGAGGUCAACGGCCAGUCGCUGGACCACGUGACGAGCAAACGUGCCCUCGAGAUUAUCACCGGCACCACCCAUUUGAGCAUCAGCGUGAAGAGCAACCUGCUCGGCUUCAAGGAAAUAAUGCAGGCUCUGGAGCAUGGUGGCGGAUCGGCUGGAUCUGGUGGACUCUCCGCCGGAAGUGGCAGCUUCAAGAGUUUACGGAGUCCGCGCCGCAUAUGCGCCAACGACAUCGCCAAGCUGCACGGCCGGUCGGACAGCACCACGGAUGAGCUGGCCAGCGUCGCGGCCAGCAACAGGGCGCACAUGGUGCGGCUUAGCUCGGUGGACAUGUUGCUCGAUCAGCCAGACUGUGCGCCGCCCCAGACUCCGCCGGUGAGCGGCGGCAACAUGGCCUCCAACUUCAUGCAGCAACUUCUUCAAAGCGUCAACAGUAGCUCGGCCAAGAAGGGAGCCGGGAGCAACAUGCCCUCAGAUCAGCAGGACACCAAGGGGGGUUUCAUGACCCUGGCGCCCAAGCGUCGGCUGCAAAAGGCGCUGGCCAAGAUGAACCUCCUGAACAAGCAACAGCACCAUGUGGGCAGUCUAAACGACUCCUCCGACGCCCUGCUCAACGAGCCAAAGUCAAAGCUCCAAUCUGGCGGCUCGGUCAGCUCCACGCAGCCAUCGAGCAACGGUUCCGCGGGCAGUGGACGGCUCUACCAGUCCCAAUCCAAUCCGGAUCUGACCAGUCUGAACUACGACGCCAACAGCGAGUCGGGAGCCGUGGGCGCAACGCUGCAGGCCAAUUAUCUGGGCGCCCACCUGCAUCGGCCGUCGGCGGCUAGCACCCUCACCACCAACUCGACGCAAUCCCACCUUUUGCCCGACUACCCAGAGCACGUGCUCAAGGUCUACAAGUCGGACCAGACGUGCAAGUACGUGCUGAUCUACAAGGAGACCACGGCCCACGAGGUGGUGAUGCUGACGCUGCAGGAGUUCGGUAUCCACGAUCCCAGCUCCAACUUUUCGCUCUGCGAGGUGAGCGUGGGCGAGGGAGGGAUGGUGAAGCAGCGACGACUUCCCGACCAGCUGCAGAAUCUCGCGGAACGCAUCAGCUUUGCGUCCCGGUAUUACCUCAAGCUGAACGACAGCACGGAGCCCCUGGUGCCGGACGAGCUGGCGCUGGAGUUGGUGCGCGAAUCCGGCGUCCACUUCCUGCACCUGAACGCCUACGAGCUGGCCAUCCAGCUGACGCUGCAGGACUUUGCCAACUUCCGUCAGAUAGAGUCCACCGAGUACAUUGACGAGCUGUUCGAGCUGCGCUCCCGCUACGGAGUACCGAUGCUGAGCAAGUUCGCGGAGCUGGUCAACCGGGAAAUGUUCUGGGUGGUGAGCGAGAUCUGCACCGAGCACAACAUCGUCCGGCGCAUGAAGAUUGUGAAGCAGUUCAUCAAAAUAGCCCGCCACUGCAAGGACUGUCGCAACUUCAACUCCAUGUUCGCCAUCAUCUCUGGCCUGGGCCAUGGCGCCGUUUCCAGACUGCGACUCACCUGGGAGAAGCUGCCAUCCAAGUAUCUGCGCCUCUUCAACGAUCUGCAGGACCUGAUGGAUCCCUCGCGCAACAUGAGCAAGUACCGGCAACUGGUGUCCGCCGAACUGUUGGCCCAGCACCCCAUCAUCCCGUUCUAUCCGAUUGUCAAGAAGGAUCUCACCUUCAUCCACCUGGGCAAUGACACGAGAGUCGAUGGCCUCAUCAACUUUGAAAAGCUCCGGAUGCUGGCCAAGGAGGUGCGCCUGCUCACCCACAUGUGCAGCUCCCCCUACGACCUGCUGGCGAUCCUGGAGCUCAAGGGCCAGUCGCCCUCGAACGCCCUCUUCUCUCUGAAUCAGAUGUCCGCUUCGCAGAGCAACGCUGCCGCCGGAGCGGUGAUCGCCGCCAACGCUGGCCAGGCGACGAUAAAGCGCCGCAAGAAGUCUGCGGCCGCCCCGAAUCCCAAGAAGAUGUUCGAGGAGGCCCAGAUGGUGCGCCGGGUGAAGGCGUACCUCAACAGCCUGAAAAUACUUAGCGACGAGGACCUUCUGCACAAGUUCUCGCUGGAGUGCGAGCCACCGCACGGCUCCACCUACUCGGGCAGCAUCUCCCACGGCAGCACCUCCCACCGCAGCGUCGGAAAUUCCAGUGGCAUUGGUGGCAGUAGCUCCGGCGGCGGUGGAGGCGCCAGCUCCAGCCUCAACGCUGGCGAUCAACUGAGCAUAUACUCACAGACCAGCUCCAGCUCGGCUCCCAACUCGUCGCUCUCCCUGCGCAAGAGGCACCCCAGUUCGCCCACCCUCUCCACCACCAGUUCGACCAGCUCCACCAGCGACCAUCAGCGGCGCCAGCUGCACAACAACGGGCCCAAGUUUGGCACCGCCUCGCCCCAGGCCGUGAAGAAGAUGCUCUCCCUGUCGGAGUCCUCCAAGAUUCGCCCCCACCAGCCGUUUGUGCCGCGCCACGGAUCAGCCCUGCCCGGCGUCAUCCCCCCACUCCACCACAUGCACGCGGCCCAUGGCUUCAGUACGCCGGCGGGAGUGCCCAGCGUAAUGGCUACCUCACCGGCAGCCGCUGCAGUGGCCAAUUCUCAGUGCACUCCUACGCCGAGUCCCUGCUCCCAUCGCCGUCUAGCAUCAGCAGGCAACAUUAUGCCCACUCGCGCCAUCCAUGAGCGCUCCCACUCGGAUACUCCUGCCCCACCGCCACCCCUGCCGUCGGUUGACCUCUCCCUGGAGAGCAGUAGUGUGACUACAUUUCGGGAGCUACCAUUGCGCAAAUCCGUAACAUCCGGUUCCAUAUCGUCAUGCGACAGUGGCUAUGUGCAUCAGCAGCAGCAGCUCCACCACCACCAGCAUCAUCCACAGUACCAACAGCAGCCAAUGGCGUCAAGUGCCCGAGAUUACGAGAUUACCUCGCCGGUGUACACGGUGGCCGACUGCCGGCUGCUGCAACAAAUCUCGAACAGCGCUGUGACCCGCAACCUGAACAGUCCCUGCCAGAACACGAACACAGCACCCAGCACACCCACCCCACCACCACUGAACCAAACCACAGCCACCAUUCAGCUCUCUGCACCGCCAACGGCAGCGGCAUACAUCCAAAUGCGCAGCCAGCACCACCAACAGCAACUCCAGAAACAGCAGCAGCAAUCUCUGGCCAUGCCACCGCCGCCGCCACCGCCGUACAAUGUGCCACCGAUGGCCAAUCACCUGUACAGCCAUCACCACGGUAGUGCGGCCAACGAUCACCUGAAUCACAUACACGGUGGCCCGCCAAAUUUUAUGGAUAACACCAAGUGUACCAUAUGCUCCAUGCCACCCAUGAACCCAUAAUGAAUCAAAUGUGCUGUUUUAACCGCUAAAAUAUAUAAAAUAAGUUAUUUUAAUUAGAGUUGCCAAAAUUUGUUAAGGUUGUGGUUUCAAUCCAAUCAUCUUUCCGCUACACCGAAGCAUAAAGUACUGUCUGGAAUAUAAUGAUUAGCCUACGAACUAUAUUAUAAUUUAGCCAAAUUGCGUACUCGAACCCUGACAUUAAAUUGCCUUUUUCUCUCAAAAGAUGUGCAGUCUGCAGGCAGACCCCCCAAGCAGACCUAAUUAUUCGGCAUUUAGAUAUUUAAGAAGAACCUAAUGUACGAAUUUCAAUGCCCAAUGCCCAGCACAAGAAGCCAACAAAUCAAAGCUCUCAUAUUAAUUCCACUAAUUCGCUUUUUAUGUACAACUUUGCUACUACAUAUACAUGCUAUAUAUAUAUAUACGUUACCUUGAAAGAACCUUCGCUCCAAUUCCAAAUAUAUAGUUUUUAAGACAAAAAAUGGGGAUUACGCAUUUAUUUCUGUUUUACAAAGAAAUCGUUGUAUUUAAAAAAAAGAGAAACCCAUUCGAAUGUGAAUGAAAUGAAAAGACAUGCAAUAUUUUUAAUGAAAAAUGAAAACAUUAAUGAAAGACACCUAGACACAAAGGCACACAACAGAAAUGAAACUAUCAAAGUACAAGCAAAUCGAAAACCAACCAGAAAUAGUAAGUUUAUAAGAGAGACUUGAAAAAGAAAUCCAAAAUAAUCAAUUUUUGUGAAAAUGUUUUUCUCACGUCACGUAAAGGACUCCAAUAUAUACAUAUAUUUCUAUUUUUGUGAGUGUGCAUUAAUUCAUGUUAGAUAUACACAAAUAAAUAUAUAUACACAUAUAUUUACCUAUAUACAAGAAAUCUCUAUAUAUAUAUAUACAAGAUAAAAGAUACAAACUCGAACAUAGCUUAAAUUCCUAGGCAAAAAUCAAAUUAUGUUUUUUUUUGUGGAAAACCAAGGAAACCCUUCACAAUCAAAAAAGAAAAGAAAUAUAUAGAUGUAUACAAACAUUAUGCUCUUUAAAUUAAGAUUCAAAACUACCAAUUUGCUUUUUAGGCUUAUAAAAAAGUUAUUCAAAUUGAAACCU